AACGAACGCUGGCGGCAUGCCUAACACAUGCAAGUCGAACGAUUGCCUUCGGGUGAUAGUGGCGCACGGGUGCGUAACGCGUGGGAAUCUGCCCUUAGGUUCGGAAUAACAGCUGGAAACGGCUGCUAAUACCGGAUGAUAUCGCGAGAUCAAAGAUUUAUCGCCUGAGGAUGAGCCCGCGUUGGAUUAGGUAGUUGGUGGGGUAAAGGCCUACCAAGCCGACGAUCCAUAGCUGGACUGAGAGGAUGAUCAGCCACACUGGGACUGAGACACGGCCCAGACUCCUACGGGAGGCAGCAGUGGGGAAUAUUGGACAAUGGGCGCAAGCCUGAUCCAGCAAUGCCGCGUGAGUGAUGAAGGCCCUAGGGUUGUAAAGCUCUUUUACCCGGGAAGAUAAUGACUGUACCGGGAGAAUAAGCCCCGGCUAACUCCGUG
rnacentral:rRNA from 1 species